ACACGACUACAUUAGAUACCCCGGUAGUCCUAGCCGUAAACGAUACUCGCUAGGUGUCGGCCACGGUGCGACCGUUGUCGGUGCCGUAGGGAAGCCGUGAAGCGAGCCACCUGGGAAGUACGGCCGCAAGGCUGAAACUUAAAGGAAUUGGCGGGGAAGCACCACAACGGGUGGAGCUUGCGGUUUAAUUGGAUUCAACGCCGGAAAUCUUACCGGGACCGACAGCAACAUGAAGGCCAGGCUGAAGACUUUGCCGGAUUAGCUG
rnacentral:rRNA from 1 species